rnacentral:lncRNA from 10 species
GGAGCUGGAAAGGUGGAGGCGGAAGUGACUGAUCAAUUCAGGGGCGUGGGGUUCGUUUAGGUUUUGCCCUGUGUAUGACCUCGUUUGGAGCCAUGAAACCAGGUCUGUGAAAUUUAGUGUCUAUUUUCUACCAUAACACAUGUUAAUUUGGACUAACCACAUUUCGAGUGCUCAGUAGCCACAUGUGGCUAGCGACUACUAUCUUGAGCAAUGCAACGAUAAGUCUGCACUUACGUUCAAAAAGACUUAAAGCAGGGAUCGACAACCCCCAGGCCACAGACUGGUAUGGAUCCAUGGCCUGUUAAGAACUGUGCCACACAGCAGGAGGUCACCAUGUGUGAUGACUACAUCCAAAGAGAGUGAGUGGCUUGAGACAUUGGUAGUAUGUGUAUCUGAUCAUAUCAAUAUGUUAAAAUGACGUUCAAAGUAUGAUCUACCUCAGAAUAAUCUAGCCUCAAGCUUUAUUCUAGGAAGGUAAUUCUGAAGAUACCUAUCUUCUUGAGAGUGAAAUUUUAUGGAAUCCUAGAUUUCUCAUACCUAGGAAUAACAAUACAAGGGACAGAAUAGUUAGCAGUGUUCCUGUUGAAAGGUCCAAGUAUCUCCCUAGGCACAGAAAACACCCAA